rnacentral:ncRNA from 1 species
CCCGGUCCGCCCGGGACGACAUGUGGUCGGCGGGCGUCGUCCGACGCCCGAGGGCGGGGGACCCGCCCGACCGCCGACUGAAUCGCAAG